rnacentral:rRNA from 1 species
GAAACCUGGGCUAAUACCGCAUACAGCACCGGCUUGGAAGCCGGAUGUGAAAGCUGGCCUCUCGAAGAAGCUGGCACCAUCGGAUGAGCUCNCGGCCUAUCAGCUAGUUGGUGGGGUAACGGCCUACCAAGGCGAUGACGGGUAGCUGGCGUGAGAGCGUGGCCAGCCACACUGGGACUGAGACACGGCCCAUACUCCUACGGGAGGCAGCAGUGGGGAAUAUUGCGCAAUGGGCGAAAGCCUGACGCAGCGACGCCGCGUGGGGGAGGAAGGCCUCAGGGUCGUAAACCCCUGUCAGGUGGGACGAACCACUGNAUCGGUUAAUACCCGGUCGGUCUGACGGUACCACCAGAGGAAGCUCCGGCUAACUCCGUGCCAGCAGCCGCGGUAAUACGGAGGGAGCUAGCGUUGUUCGGAAUCACUGGAGCGUUAAAGGGGCGCGUAGGCGGUCGGGGUAAGUCGGAGUGUGAAAUUUCCGGGGCUCAAACCCCGCCAAAUNGCAUUCGAUACUGCUCCGACUA